UGGUGAUUGGUCGGUUUGCUGCUUGGCGGGCUUCUAAGUGAAACAAUAGGCGUGGUUUCCAAGAAUCCUGAUCUCACUUAUCGUCCAGAAUGAGGAAGCUUCAAAACGAAAGUUAAAUCGAAGAGGGGAGAAGCCACGUAAGUGAUGGAAGACCUAAAAAGGAUCCGUACUGGAUUUGUGCAGAAAAUCGGACUCCCAGCUUUGAAAGGUCUGCUGGAUGACCUUUGGCAGUGCAAAGUGUUGAGUACCGAAGACAAGGACACUGUGACGGAGGACCAUAAGAGCAGAGCGGACCGGGCUCGGUGUCUGAUCGACAUGGUGAUGGCGAAAGGGGUGAGAGCAAGUCAGGCGAUGAUCGAUAGCAUGAAGAAGAGGGACAAGCACUUAUGCAUCACCCUGGGUCUGAUCUCUUCUGAUCGUGUGGAGAAUGAGAGCCAUAUGCACGCUGUGUCCUCCAGUGAAACCAACACCCCUGAGUCUGCUCCACAACUCCCUCAAGCAACAGAGGAAGAGGAAGAGGAUACACCAUAUCCCAUGAAGGCUCAACCGAAAGGCUACUGCUUGAUCGUCAACAACUUUGACUUCAGCCGUUCCGGUCGGAACCUAGGUCAACGGAUGGGGACAGACAUUGAUGAAAAGAGCCUGAGGAGUGUGUUCAGCUGGCUGGGCUUCCAGGUGGAGGUGGUGCAGGACGCCACCGGAGACCAGAUGCUCUCCACCAUGCGGGGUCUGGCCAGCAAGGACCACAGUGGGAUGGACUGCGUGGCUUGCAUCGUCCUGAGCCAUGGCCUGGAGGGCGGCGUGUACGGGGUGGACGGGAAGGUGGUCCGGCUGAAGGAGCUCGCUGACUUCCUGAAUGGGGUGCGGUGCGCCUCUCUGAGAGGGAAGCCCAAGCUGUUCUUCAUCCAGGCUUGCCAGGGCAACAAGAGGGAGCAGGCGGUCCCCGUCCUGGACAACAGACCCGCCCGCCCAGAGGUCAGCGACCAAACUGACACCCAGACGGACGGACCCAGUAGCACUGGGGACCCCUGCAGCGACGGCAUGGAGGCGAGUGUGUUGAUACCCACCUCGGCAGAUUUCCUGACCGCCAUGGCUACCACUCCCUCCUAUACCUCUAUGAGAGUCGAGGACCGAGGCUCCUGGUUCAUCCAGUCCUUGUGCCAGAACCUUGUGAAGUUGGUUCCUCGUGGCAAAGACUUAGCCUGGAUCCUGACGACGGUUCACAACGAUGUGGGCAAUAAGUCCAACCGCAUCGGCGGACGCAGACAGAUGCCCCAACAUCACACCUCUCUGCGGACACGUCUGGUCUUCCCCGUCCCUGAAGCCCCGAUUCCCAGUCUGCCCACCAGUCCCUAACUACCAAGGCUCUGCUCCAAUUGGUCGACUUGUGCCCUCAAUGGUGCUUAUGUUGUCCGAAAUGUGAGUGUACGAAUCUGGAUCUCCACAUAGUGCACUACUUAAUAUCCAAAAAUGCACCAUAAAGAUUCAAGAUUCAAUACUUUAUUGCCAUACAACUCUGUACAAGUUGCUAGGGAUUUGUUUCAGUACAUGACAGUACAAGACCCACACAAAAGACACAUAAAACAUAGAACAUCAUUUUAUCCAUGCAAUAUCCUUCCAAGGAUCCCACACAUAAGACAUAUAGCCCACUUCCACCUGGUUGACAGGCCAGGGUAAGUGCUGUAUGUUUGAUCAAAGUGACCGGUGCUUAUAAGUGCAAGUGAUGUGCAAAAUGGAGCAAUUCAUGUGCAAAUCUGCAUAAGGUCCAAGAAAUAAGUACAUAGUUAAGAAAACUCACAUUAUAUAAAAACUAUAGAAAUUAGUGCGUAUUAUACUAUGCAGGGCCACUGGGGGAGUCUGCAUUCCUGAUACACUGGUGUAGGGAUGUAGAGUUAAGAGCUUUAAUGGUCCUGCAGUAUGUGCUGUUGAGGAAGCGGGAGGUUUUAGUUUUGAUGGGCCUCAACCUCCUACCUGAUGGGAGGGGAUUGAAGAGGGAGUUAGCAGGGUGUAAUUUAUCCUGAAGAGUUGUCAGGCCUCUACUGUGGAUACGGGCCUCGUAGAUGUCUGAGAUGGGAGGGAGACUGCAGCCAACUAUCUUGGAGGCCGUAUGGACAAUCCUGUCUAGUCGCAUCCUCUGCUGGACAGUAGAGUUGCCAUACCAGACUGUGAUUGAGAACGUAAGGACGCUCUCAAAGGUGGCUCGGUAGAACUGCUGCAUCCCCUUGCAGGCCACCCCAAACUUCUUUAGUUGGCGGAGGAAAAAGAGCCUCUGGUGGGCUAUUUUAAUAAUAGCAGUGAUGUUAUCUACCCAUUUCAGAGAGGAGAUUAUUGUGCCCAGAAAUUUGAAGCUGUCUACCCGUUCCUCCACCGCCGCAUUGAUGGACAGAGACUAGAUAAAUGGUACCCUGACGCUGCCAGACCACUGAGCAAAUGCGUAACAGUGUGGAACGUCUUAGUAAAUAUUAGAUUUCCAAGGGCCGUUAUUAACGGGCCCAAACUGGACACAAUUGGAUAGACCAGCAACCAAUCAGCAACGAAGCAUGUGACACAUCAGCAGCAGCCCUCUCCAUUGUUUAGGAAACUCUUCAACGGCUCCCCUUGAGAGCUCCUCUGUACAGUGAUCGUAUCAAACCCGCCCCUUUUAGACAAACACUUCUGAUUGGCCAAACUCGGGCCAGGCCUGCUGGAAAUCUGUCUGAACGGGAGGGGGCCAGACGCAUACACAAAGAGCAAAUAAAUAUAUGCUGACAGAUGAUCUGGUACCCAGGCUAGCUAUAAGGUUCAUUCAGUUACUUGCAGAGGCCAUAGUGCAGUAGAUGUCUCCAUUGAAAGAAACGAUGAAGAUUGACCAAAACAAGCGUUGGACCAAAAGGAAACAGUGAAGCUCUCUGUGAAUGUUUCCUGGUCCUCUGAAUAAGGCCAGAUCAAAACAUCAGACCAUGUCCUUCCAGUCCUGAGGCAACUAAAUGUAUGUUUUAUUGGAAUUACAAAGAUGGACUCAUUGAGUCAAUCCUGCAAUUCACAAUUGUUCUGUUGUCUUGACCAUGUAAAGUAAUUAUUGAUAUCAUGCUUAGAAUAGGUCUUCUUUCCUGGGCUACUACAUGUGACCUAAGCUGUUCCCCUCAGGUUCCUCCUAUAGACAGGUAUAGAUAGGAAUUUUGUAACAUUUUAGAUUUUAUUUAUUUUUGUAUGGUUGUGAUCAAGGAAUUUUGUAAAACAUUUGUAAUAAUCCACAAGUCUGACUUUAUUCUGGGCUUUUUCUACAUUUUCCCCAAAAGGCAGCUUUUAUUGUUUCAUAUUAUCAUUAAUAUUACACAUGUUAACAUGGAUAUAACCAAACUCCCAGUCACAGGGUUUUCACUAACAUUAUCCUGGCAGUAAUGUCCAGACCAGACGUCUGGUUGGGGCAAAAUAAAAGGAAAAGUGGCAAAGUUUGUGAAGCAAGAAAGCAGUCUUCUGUGGAAAAGACUGCUUUCUUGCUUCAUUUGUUUGACAUAUUUUUAAACCUGUCAUGCCAACUUAUCAAUACUUUAAAUAUAGUAAAUAUUAUCACAUUAAUAUAAUUCAGCACGAUUCUAUAAAUAAUGGAAUACAUCAGUGUAAAGCUAUUGGGUCACCAUUGACACUUGAGUGGAUCCAUGUGUAACGUUAUUCAUGGUUUCACUCAUGGCUCUAAAGAUCAGAGUAGUGAGCUCAGGUGCUUUUAGCGUGAGUGGGGGCAUGUAUUCCUUAUAGUUAGUAGAGAGACUGAAGGUUAGCCAGACAGUAGCGUGUAAAUGUACUGGAAUGUGGAACUAGGAACUAUUUAGGAUUACUUUGUAUUGAAAUCAUUGUUCAUGGAAUAUACUUAGACUUUACUUUACCACGUUAUUUCUUUGCUUCAUCAGCUACAGAGAUUAUUCUAGUACACCCAGUAUAAGAAAGUGUGUCCGUUUUUUACCUGUUCCAUUUCAGAAUGGCAGCUGUAGAGAGGUAUUGUAGAGAGCAGGGGUCACCAACCUGGUGGUCCUUGGGAGACUCAUGUGGUACCGGGUCGCCAAUAAAUAAAUAACUUUUAACUAACUUAUAAA